AUACGAAGGGGGCUAGCGUUGUUCGGAAUUACUGGGCGUAAAGCGCGCGUAGGCGGACUGAUCAGGUAGGGGUGAAAUCCCAGGGCUUAACCCUGGAACUGCCUCUAAUACUGUCAGUCUUGAGUUCGGGAGAGGUGAGUGGAAUUCCUAGUGUAGAGGUGAAAUUCGUAGAUAUUAGGAAGAACACCAGUGGCGAAGGCGGCUCACUGGCCCGAUACUGACGCUGAGGCGCGAAAGCGUGGGGAGCAAACAGGAUUAGAAACCCGAGUAGUCC
rnacentral:rRNA from 1 species